rnacentral:rRNA from 1 species
CCCUUAGAUGUUCUGGGCCGCACGCGCGCUACACUGUUCGACGCAGCGAGUCUUAACCUUGACCGAAAGGUUUGGGUAAUCUUCAGCAAAGUCGAACGUGAUGGGGAUCGAUCAUUGCAAUUAUUGAUCGUGAACGAGGAAUUCCUAGUAAGUGCAAGUCAUCAGCUUGCGCUGAUUACGUCCCUGCCCUUUGUACACACCGCCCGUCGCUACUACCGAUUGAAUGGCUUAGUGAGAUCUCUGGAUUGACGCUGGCUAGGGGGCGACCCUUGGCCAGGCUGUCGAGAAACUGCUCAAACUUGAUCAUUUAGAGGAAGUAAAAGUCGUAACA